rnacentral:rRNA from 1 species
GGCCGCGGGAAUUCGAUUCAGGCCUAACACAUGCAAGUCGAGCGAGAAUCAGUGAAGCAGCGAUUCGUCAAAGCGGAUCUGAGGAAAGCGGCGGACGGGUGAGUAACGCGUAGGCAACCUGCCCUUAGCAGAGGGAUAGCCAUUGGAAACGAUGAUUAAAACCUCAUAAUGCUGUUUUAACACAUGUUUUGACAGCCAAAGAUUUAUCGGCUAAGGAUGGGCCUGCGUCUGAUUAACUAGUUGGUGAGGUAACGGCCCACCAAGGUGACGAUCAGUAGCCGACCUGUGAGGGUGAUCGGCCACAUUGGAACUGAGACACGGUCCAAACUUCUACGGAAGGCAGCAGUAAGGAAUCUUGCACAAUGGGGGAAACCCUGAUGCAGCAACGCCGCGUGAACGAUAAAGGCCUUAGGGUUGUAAAGUUCUGAUCUGGGGAAGAAGAA